AGUGAACGCUGGCGGUAGGCCUAACACAUGCAAGUCGAACGGCAGCACAGUAAGAGCUUGCUCUUACGGGUGGCGAGUGGCGGACGGGUGAGGAAUACAUCGGAAUCUACUUUUUCGUGGGGGAUAACGUAGGGAAACUUACGCUAAUACCGCAUACGACCUACGGGUGGAAGCAGGGGAUCUUCGGACCUUGCGCGAUUGAAUGAGCCGAUGUCGGAUUAGCUAGUUGGCGGGGUAAAGGCCCACCAAGGCGACGAUCCGUAGCUGGUCUGAGAGGAUGAUCAGCCACACUGGAACUGAGACACGGUCCAGACUCCUACGGGAGGCAGCAGUGGGGAAUAUUGGACAAUGGGCGAAAGCCUGAUCCAGCCAUACCGCGUGGGUGAAGAAGGCCUUCGGGUUGUAAAGCCCUUUUGUUGGGAAAGAAAAGCAGCAGGUUAAUACCCCGCUGUUCUGACGGUACCCAAAGAAUAAGCACCGGCUAACUUCGUG
rnacentral:rRNA from 1 species